GUCGCCUCCUAAAAGGUAACGGAGGCGCUCAAAGGUUCCCUCAGAAUGGUUGGAAAUCAUUCAUAGAGUGUAAAGGCAUAAGGGAGCUUGACUGCGAGACCUACAAGUCGAGCAGGGUCGAAAGACGGACUUAGUGAUCCGGUGGUUCCGCAUGGAAGGGCCAUCGCUCAACGGAUAAAAGCUACCCCGGGGAUAACAGGCUUAUCUCCCCCAAGAGUUCACAUCGACGGGGAGGUUUGGCACCUCGAUGUCGGCUCAUCGCAUCCUGGGGCUGUAGUCGGUCCCAAGGGUUGGGCUG
rnacentral:rRNA from 1 species